GCGGGUGUAGCUCAGCUGGUAGAGCGCAACCUUGCCAAGGUUGAGGUCACGGGUUCGAGUCCCGCCACCCGCU
rnacentral:tRNA from 1 species